CCCUUAGAUGUUCUGGGCUGCACGCGCGCUACACUGAAGCGUUCAACGAGUAUUCACCUUGCCCGGGAGGGUUGGGUAAUCUUUUGAAAACGCUUCGUGAUGGGGAUAGAUUAUUGCAAUUAUUAAUCUUGAACGAGGAAUUCCUAGUAAACGCAAGUCAUCAGCUUGCAUUGAUUACGUCCCUGCCCUUUGUACACACCGCCUGUCGCACAAACCGAUUGAAUGAUUCGGUGAAAAUUUUGGACAUCGAGAGUGGUGAUUAAUUUCGCUGCUCUUAUAUGGAAAGAAUUUAAACCUAAUUAUUUAGAGGAUUGUGAAGUCAUAACA
rnacentral:rRNA from 1 species